rnacentral:lncRNA from 1 species
GUUGUUGAUGUGACCGCGUGUCCACAAACCUGGGAUUCCCUCGCCCUCAGAUUCCAGAAUCCAAUUUCUUGGAUUUCAGUGUUUUUAAGGUGGGAGGUCUCGCUGUGCUUCUCAGGCUGGACUCAAAUUCCUGGGCUCAAGUGACUCCCCCGCCUCAGCCUCCUGAGUAGCUGGGACUACAGAGAUGGCAUGUCAGUCUGGUGGUCUAGCCAGAGGAGGACUCCUGGAGCUGGUGAACUGUGCAUGGAUAUGCAGUCAUGGGCAGCCCACCUCCUACUCCUCACCCCCCAGUGCCUGCAAGGGUCUGGUCUUGCUUUAUUGCCCAGGCUGGAGUACAGUGGCACAAUCAUGGCUCACUGCAGCCUCAACCUCUUGGGCCCAAGCAAUCUUCCCACCUUGGUCUCCUAAAGUGCUAGGAUAACAGGCAUGAGCCACCACACCUGGCUGAGGCCCUACAUUUUCAUUUUGUGCUGAGACUUAUAAAUUAGGUAGCUGGUCCUGGCUAUAGCAGAGCGUAUAGAUUCUUUUUCUGGCUCUGUUUUUGUGACAUCUCAACUUACUGGGCUCUUAUUAAAGGUGAUUUAGGUGACUUAUCAACUUUUCAUGAGUACAGAUGAAGAAUUCUUCUAGGGCAGGGGUCCCCAUCCCUUGGGCCACAGACCAGUACUGGCCUGUUAGGAACCAGGCCGCACAGCAGGAGGUGAGUGGCAGGCAAGCAAAUCAAGGUUCAUCUGUAUUUACAGCCACUCCCCAUCGCUGGCAUUAUUGCCUGAGCUUGGCUUCCUGUCAGAUCAGUGGCGACCUUGAUUGUCAUAGGAGCAUGAACCCUCUAGUGAACUGCGCAUGGGAGAGAUCUAGGUUGCACGCUUCUUGUGAGAAUCUAAUGCUUGAUGAUCUGUCACUGUCUCCCAUCACUCCCAGAUGGGAUCGCCUAGUUGCAACAAAACAAGUUCAGGGCUCUCACUGAUUUUACCUUAUGGUAGGUUGUAUAAUUAUUUCAUUAUAUAUUACAAUGUAAUAAUAAUAGAAAUAAA